rnacentral:rRNA from 1 species
AGAACGAACGCUGGCGGCAUGCCUAAUACAUGCAAGUCGAACGAACACUUCGGUGUUAGUGGCGCACGGGUGCGUAACGCGUGGGAAUCUGCCCUUGGGUUCGGAAUAACAGUUGGAAACGACUGCUAAUACCGGAUGAUAUCGAAAGAUCAAAGAUUUAUCGCCCAGGGAUGAGCCCGCGUAGGAUUAGCUAGUUGGUGAGGUAAAGGCUCACCAAGGCGACGAUCCUUAGCUGGUCUGAGAGGAUGAUCAGCCACACUGGACUGAGACACGGCCCAGACUCCUACGGGAGGCAGCGAGUAGGGAAUAUUGGACAAGUGGGCGCAAGCCUGGUCCAGCAAUGCCGCGUGAGUGAUGAAGGCCGUUAGGGUUGUAAAGCUUACUUUACCCGGAG